GGCGCGCCCCGCCGAGCGGCCUGAGCACAUGGCAGCUAGCCGUGUCUACCAGCCUUGGCAGCAGCCAGUGGGGCCUUCCCUGGGCCCCUGGCCUGGCUUUGGUCCAGCCACCUGUGUGUACCUGCCUCCCAGGUGCUGGGAAAUGAACAGGAGGCCCGUAGUUCCCAUGACUCAGCUGGUUCAGGCCCCAAAAUUCCCCCAGGUCACUGGCGAGGCUGUGUAGCCAGCGGGGAUGGGGAGGCCUUGGUGAGGCUGGCCUGGGGUCUGGGCCUCGAUGGGCUGCCAGCCCUCGAUGUGUGAUAUAAGAGGUCGUGUGUGCUCCCGUGACUCAGUUUCCCCAAGUUGUCAUCAACGAAGGCUUGAGGCUGUUCCCAGCACUAGGGGGUGUGGGGGGGGCCCCAGGUGCCCCCCCCAUCGGCCUGGCCGUCAGUCAGGCCCGCGGGGCCCCUUCAAGUCGUCACGGCCCAGCAGUGGUCGCGGGAGGGAUUAUUCCGGCCUGUCCAGGAUGGACUCAAGUGGAACCGACGCUGACGAGCGGAACGCGCCCCUGCGGGCCAGGCCUGCCUGCCUUUGUCCGCCGCCAGCCCUGCCUGCCUGCCUUCACAGACACCGCCUCCAGCACUGCACAGCACAGCCUCCAGCCUGGUGCUCAGCUGUGGCCGGCACAAAAUUCCACUGGGCCUUUGGCAGAGCAGCUUCUGGCCUGGAGCCCUGGCUGAGCCCCUCCCCAGCCUCAGUUUCUCCAUCUGUAGCAUGGGUGUGUCCGCCAUGGCUGCCCGCGGGUGUGAGUCCAUGGGCAAGCUGCCUUCUUCUCUGGCCCUCCCCCGGUGGCCAGGGCUGUUGUGAAGAUAAAAUGAGGAAACACAGUAGUCAGGCUGAGCCCAGUGCUGGGCAUACAGCUGGCACUCAAUAGAUGCAGCUCUGGAUGGUGCUGGACUUUAGCCCUGGCUUUGGUCCUGACCUAGGGCCACCGUGCAUGAGCGUUCUGCCUCUCUCUGCUUCUACUGGCCCGGCAGGGCUGGCUGAGGAGAGACUGAGACAAUUAAUAAGCAGAUGCUUGCUAAAUGCCCGAGGAAGAAUGGGGUGAAGGGAUGAGGGGAGGCGGGUGUCCUGGCUUCUGGCAGCUGCGGCAACUUAGACUGCCGGCUCCUUGGAGGCCCCCUCUAGGAGCCUGCACUGAAGAUUAAACGAUUCCCCACCACUGGCUGGCUGCGAUGCGUUCACACGCUCGGGCGCCCCUGCACUCCCCGGCGGCCGCGUGUCUGUUCCACCCUGCCGAGCUGUUCCCCACGAUCAAUUUCAAUUUGGCCUGGUCUCUGCCUCUGCAGCCUGGCCCUCCUUGGGGGCUGGGGCUGGGGAAGGGGAGGUGGUGGCUUCCUCAGCC
ensembl:lncRNA